ACGUAGGUCACAAGCGUUGUCCGGAAUUACUGGGUGUAAAGGGAGCGCAGGCGGGAAGACAAGUUGGAAGUGAAAUCUAUGGGCUCAACCCAUAAACUGCUUUCAAAACUGUUUUUCUUGAGUAGUGCAGAGGUAAGCGGAAUUCCCGGUGUAGCGGUGGAAUGCGUAGAUAUCGGGAGGAACACCAGUGGCGAAGGCGGCCUACUGGGCACCAACUGACGCUGAGGCUCGAAAGUGUGGGUAGCAAACAG
rnacentral:rRNA from 1 species